rnacentral:rRNA from 1 species
AAUCCUGUUGAUCCUGCGGGAGGUUGCUGCUAUUGGGAUUCGACUAAGCCAUGCAAGUCAAGGGGUUCUUCGGAACACCGGCAAACUGCUCAGUAACACGUCGAUAAUCUGCCCUUAGGUCGGGGAUAGCCUCUGGAAACUGAGGAUAAGCCCUGAUAGGGAAAUUCUACUGGAAUGUGUUUUUUCUUAAACGUAAGGCCUAAGGAUGAGUCGGCGGUCGAUUAGGUUGUUGGUGAGGUAAUGGCUCACCAAGCCUAUGAUCGAUAGGGGCCUUGAGAGAGGUAACCUCGAGAAGGGCACUGAGAUACUGGCCCUAGCCCUACGGGGUGCAGCAGGCGCGGAAACUUUACAAU